CGCCUGUUUAACAAAAACAUUUCUUCUUAAGGUUGGUGGAGGUAGUUUCUGCUCAGUGCAGAAAUGUAAAUAGCUGCGGUAUUUAACUGUACAAAGGUAGCGUGAUAAUUUUUUUUUUAAUUGAAAGGUAGGAUGAAUGAAAAAACAAAAUAUAUUCUUUAUAAAUAUAAUAGGUUAAAAUUUUUCAUAAAAGUAAAAAGACUUUUAUUUUUUAAAGGGACGAAAAGACCCUGAAAAUUUUGAGUGGAAUAUAUGAUAUAAAUGUAUUCUAUUUUUAAUUGGGGUGAUUGAUUAUAAAAAUAUUUUUUAAUUGAAACACUAUUUAUGGAGUUGAUUUUCUUUUAUUUAAACAUAAAGUGAAAUUACUUCAGGGAUAACAGCAUUAUUAAUUUAGAUAGUUCAUAUUGAAAAAUUAGAUUGUGACCUCGAUGUUGAAUUAAAUUAUACUUCUGAGCAGAAGAAGAAGAGUGUUGGUUUGUUCAACCAUUAAUUGUUUACAUGAUCUGAGUUCAGACCGG
rnacentral:rRNA from 1 species